rnacentral:rRNA from 1 species
GCUGGCGGCGUGGAUAAGACAUGCAAGUCGAACGAGACUUUUCGUUGUAGCAAUACGAUGGAAAGUUAGUGGCGAACGGGUGCUUAACACGUGGGCAACCUGCCAUGAAGUGGGGGAUAGCUCGCCGAAAGGCGAAUUAAUACCGCAUGUGAUUAGAGAGGACAUCCUUUCGAAAUUAAAGUCGGGGCAACCUGACGCUUCUUGUGGGGCCCGCGGCCUAUCAGCUAGUUGGUGAGGUAACGGCUCACCAAGGCUUUGACGGGUAGCUGGUCUGAGAGGACGACCAGCCACACUGGGACUGAGACACGGCCCAGACACCUACGGGUGGCAGCAGUCGAGAAUUUUUGACAAUGGGGGAAACCCUGAUCGAGCGACGCCGCGUGGAGGAUGAAUGUCUUCGGAUUGUAAACUCCUGUCAUUGGGGAACAAUGCACAGAUAUUAACUGUAUUUGUGUUGAUAGUACCCGAAGAGGAAGAGACGGCUAACUCUGUGCCAGCAGCCGCGGUAAUACAGAGGUCUCAAGCGUUGUUCGGAUUCAUUGGGCGUAAAGGGUGCGUAGGCGGCGCGGUAAGUCGGGUGUGAAAUCUCGGGGCUUAACUCCGAAACUGCAUUCGAUACUG